GUAGUUUGACUCUGGCUCGAGGAUAGACGCUGGCGGCGUGCUUAACACAUGCAAGUCGAACGAAGCACUGAAAGCAGAUUACUCGGUUUGAAGCUUUCUUUGACUGAGUGGCGGACGGGUGAGUAACGCGUGGGUAACCUGCCUCAUACAGGGGGAUAACAGUUAGAAAUGACUGCUAAUACCGCAUAAGCGCACGGUUUCGCAUGGAACAGUGUGAAAAACUCCGGUGGUAUGGGAUGGACCCGCGUCUGAUUAGCUGGUUGCGGGUAACGGCCCACCAAGGCGACGAUCAGUAGCCGGCCUGAGAGGGUGAACGGCCACAUUGGGACUGAGACACGGCCCAAACUCCUACGGGAGGCAGCAGUGGGGAAUAUUGCACAAUGGGGGAAACCCUGAUGCAGCGACGCCGCGUGAAGGAAGAAGUAUUUCGGUAUGUAAACUUCUAUACAGCAGGGAAGAAAAUGACGGUACCUGACUAAGAAGCCCCGGCUAACUACGUG
rnacentral:rRNA from 1 species